rnacentral:rRNA from 1 species
CGGAUUCUGGCUCAGGAUGAACGCUAGCGGCAGGCUUAACACAUGCAAGUCGAGGGGCAUCGGGAGUAGCAAUACUUGCCGGCGACCGGCGCAAGGGUGCGUAACGCGUGAGCAACAUGCCCGUAUCAGGGGGAUAAUCCAUGGAAACGUGGUCUAAUACCCCAUAGUAAUUAUGUAAGGCAUCUUAUAUAAUUUAAAGCUUUGGUGGAUACGGAUUGGCUCGCGUGACAUUAGCUGGAUGGUAAGGUAACGGCUUACCAUGGCUACGAUGUCUAGGGGUUCUGAGAGGAAGGUCCCCCACACUGGAACUGAGACACGGUCCAGACUCCUACGGGAGGCAGCAGUGAGGAAUAUUGGACAAUGGAUGGAAAUCUGAUCCAACCAUGCCGCGUGCAGGAAAAGACGGCCCUAUGGGUUGUAAACUGCUUUUGUAUGGGAGCAAUAAGGGCUACGUGUAGUCCGAUGAGAGUACCAUACGAAUAAGCACCGGCUAACUCCGUGCCAGCAGCAGC